UAUUGGAUUACAAGGAUUUUUUUCGGGAUCAGUUCCAGAAGCUUCAGUACUUGGGGACUAAUAGACACUUGAUAACAGAGUAACAGAUUGCAGUCACGAAGAGAUAAACGAAUAGUGAUUUCCAAUGUAAAGGUAUGUGCAAAACUGAAAUGAUGAAGCCGACCUACUUCUACAAAGUUGUAUAUUUUGAGUUUAUUAAACCUAAUCGUUUUAAAAGGCAAAUAUUUAGGGCAAUGCUGAAACUAUAGGCAUAACUUGAUUCAUUUUAGGUUACUAUAGGAACUCUGCAACCUAUAGGCGACACUCUGUCACGCGCGCACUCAGUGGCCCAUGGAAAGCGCGCGCAAGAGAGAGAGAAAGAAGAGGAGAAAGGGAGCACGCGCGUGGGAUUGCGAUUGGCCAUUCGGCAGCCUGCUGCUGGAGUGACGUCACUGCAGGAGAGAACUGCCAGAGGAGGAUGCAUUUAGUCGGAAACUAGACUCUCUCAAGCUGGAGAGAGAGAACAUUGCAUGCACAGAACACAGGAGGGGAGGGAACGAGAGCAUCGCAUGCGUGCGUGCUUUCAAAAAGUAAACCUGGCAUCUCCUCUCACGUCCAUGCAUAAACACUGUAAGCAUGCUUUUCAAGGGAGGAAUUCCCCAUCGUGGAAAUUUAACUGCAUGUUCCGUUAUCUGGAUGGCUGAGACGCAGCGUUCGAUGGCCGAAUACUCAAGGACUGCGAGUUCUGAAUGGAAAACGCAUCGCUGAAGAGAUGCACUGAAGAGUUGGGCUUCUGACUAGAUGCUUCUGCGCUGCUCAGAGAUUUUAGCGUCAUGUUCUUUAACGCGAGACGCACGGGAUCCUCUAUUUGUCCCCGACACACGGCCACUCGUAGCUUACUUUUUGACAGAGAGGAAUAUGCACGUCAAUUGUUAAAAGUAAGCUUUUUAAAUUACCUCAGCUAUUUCUGCGUACUCUUGUGCAUUUGUAUUUUGAAACAUUGACUCGUAGCACAGCUUGAAUCACUGAAUUGUUUUGGUCGCAAUAACUCUUAGUGACUUAGAAGUCUGUAAAUUGACUUAAAAAAAUUAUGAAUAAAUACAUAUUUGCAAAAAUGCAUGCAUAUAAUAUACUAACAAUUUGCGUGGAUUGCUUAUAACUGACCACAACAGGCCAUGUUGACUGGUAAGUGCAUGUGGCCCUCUGUACUUUGUACACUCACAUCACAGCAGGUGCAUCUGGAAUGUCUGGAGCAUUUUCAUGAAAUAUGUAGCGUGUGUAUCUUUCACAGUAAUAUGAAUAGGCAACAUAACCUAAGAAGCCAUUUUUAAGUAAUUUUGGAUGAUGCACACUACUUGUAUGUUUUCAGUGCUUUAGCCCUUUAAUAACUUCAUUUUGAAAUUAGUGUCAUUCGAUUUGGUAAAGCAUGUUUAUUGAACUACUCUUGUAUAGUAUUAUAUUUAUAAAUAAAAAUAGCUCUAUAUUAAUUUAGUCUAUUUGCGGACAUUUUGCUUAAUGCAUGCUUAUAUAAAUAGCUUUUAGAAUACAAUACAGUUUGCAUACACUUGAUGAAAAAGUAUAAUAUUUUGUAGAAUUUACAAAUAUCACCAAAUGUAAUUAACAAUAGCUUUGACUAAAUGACGUCACAUUUACGUGAGAGAAACGUGGGUUCAGUAGACACGAUUUGAAAAGUCAGGGAACGUCUUCAUAGUUUCAAAUGUUGAAAUCUGUUUAACAUGCGUCCCUGUAAAAUAAAACUUACAUAAUAUUAACUUUAUAAGCUAUUUGGGUCUUAUUUCUUAAUUGCAUCAUUUUGGAGGAAAAAAACUGUUGGCUAAAAGGCCUUACCCACUGCAGUUUGCGGAAUUAUAAUGCACGAGAUGAAGAUGAAAUGAUGCAUGGUGAUGUAGGCGUGAUAACUGUCUGAUUGUUGGAGCUUAACGAGCCAGAUGAAAUGGUUAGCCCUAAUAAUCGUCAUUUUUUAAGCAUUAUUAGUGACCAGAAGGGACAAAAUCCCGUUUAGAUGAAUGGAAACCCUGGCAAUAACUCCAAAGGCUCAAUUUGAAAUGUCUCCAGAGCGCAACUUCAGGCCUUGACUAUUGUGGAUUAUGUCUUCACCACGAGGUCUGGAGAACCUCAUAAAUCUAUUCAACACUUGACUUGUUAACAGUAUUUACAGUCUAUAAAAAGAGUGUGUAAUCUGAGUGUAAUUUAUUUAUUGCGCAUUAACCCUGUUUUCGUUUAUCAGGUCAACUUUAUGAGAUGUUCCACACUAAAAAAAAAGUGUUGACAGGAGGUAGUUGCUAUCUUUGGUUAUCUAGCUGUAUGAGUGUUUAUCUUCCUUCAUAAAGCUAGAUAACCGAAAGUAGAAACGUCCUCCUUAACUGCAUAGUGGACAAGCUGGGAAGCAAUGAUCGCAGGGAACUGCAUGAGCCUCUCAAACUGCAGUGUCUUUGUGAGAGACCAGAGGACUGGAGCUAAGGGGGGAAACGCCAUCUGCUCCCCUCCCUUCUUCGUCAACGGAAGCAUUUAGUGCCAUCUGUGCCCCCUGAGAAAAGAGGAAAAAAAGAAAGGAGUGAGACUCUCCAUCCCAAGUGCCAAUGGGGACAAAGAGGCUGCCAGUUGCCACGGACCACCAGAUGCUGGAAGACUGCAAGUCUGAAUGAGGGGUGUGCUUUCAGGAAGCCAUCUUGAUGGAGAAGCUGGCUGCUGCUCCCUAAAAUGGCUGUGUUGGCAUGAGGCUACUGGCAAUGAAACUGAAAAAUCCCCAUCGUUGUCAUCAGCUACUGGAGAAACUGAGGCCAUCCUGCUAUGUUUGAAUCAAAUGGUAAAUCACAUCACCUCAGGAAUCCAGCGUCCAACAUCUCUUCCAGAUGGUCUGCUGUGGAAAGCAAAUGAGGAAUGGUUUAAAAUGUGCACUAACUAAUUUAACUGGGUGUCAAAACCUUGCAGUCUUCAGACAAUCACUAAUACUGGAUGGGCGUGUGGAUUUGGGCUGUUCACCCAGUUAAUCUUAGAUGUUAGAAAACGUGUUGUAGUCUCAUCAGUGCCAUAUAAACUGAAGAGAAUAAUGUGCCUUAAUGUGUGAAAAGUUUACAAUGAGAGUUGAUGUUAAUGUCAAUGUCUUGAAUUUUGCUUUUAAUGCUUCUUUGCAACUUUCAUGUUAGCAUUCUUUUUAUUUUAUUUUUUGUUAUUGUACUUACAAAAUGUUCCAGUUUCAAUGGAUGUACAAGAAAUUGUGCUUAAUCCAAAUAUUUUGUAUAGCUAUACUGUAUGUAUGGAGUUUAAUACAAGAAUUAUGGUCAGUUUCUCUCUGGAAUUUCAUUUGUCUGAUUAUGUGAUGUAUGAAACAAGCUGUAUACACUGCACAAAAAAUGACAUUAAAGCAUUACACUGAAAAAGCAAUUCUAAGUUAUACUCAAUAUAAAAAUGUACUGUAAUAGGAUGUGGAUGUCAACACAGCUCCAAAUGUAGUGGCCACAGGCUAUUUUGUAACCACCUACUGCAAGACAGCUUGACAGCUCAUGGUACUGGCGCUGCUGUCAGCACCUUGGACAGCACAUAAUAAGCAAGUGAGCAAAAUAACUAGCAAAGAAAUCACCUCUCUUAUCCAUGCAGAAAUCACAAAAAAACACAUGGGCUGCUCUGGAGUGAGUCAAAGCAGUGUGCUUAAGGUGAUGUGUUUUUGUUUUUAAUCUGUGGGAAGGAGAUCAAACGAUUUUAUAUAAUUCUGUCAAUAGGAUUUGCUUGAUUGGCAGACAUUAUGUCAGUGAUUGUUUCCAUUUACUAAGAUUACAUGUGAAGCAUACAUAAGUUGUGCCAUUUAAAAGAUAAUCAGAAUAGUUAACAUAUGAAAUAAAACAUUAUUCUGAAUCAAAAUGUAGGGUUCAUUUCUAUGUCUGAGCUGAGAUACUCAUUCAGCACCUUGACAGCUGAUGAGAAAUAUACCUGAUGUAAAACACUGGUUAAAUUACAUUAAGCCAUAAAAUAAGGAUUCACGUACACCUCUCAAGUUAAGAUGGAUGUCUCUCUGCCAAAUCAGACAAGAUAUAAUCUUCGUGAAAUUAUUUUUAAUGGGUGUCUUCCCUCCGCAGUUCAAGAAUGACAGAAAUACUGGAAGAGUUUUCGCUCUCGAGUUCGUCAGCGUAUCGUUCGUUAAACGUCAAACCUUUAUAAAUGAAGGGUAAACUGGCGAUGAGAUGUCGUGUUCUCUGUGAGCAAGGUAAACUCGAAAGGUUAAAUGUCGUAUUAUUCAGUUGUGAUAUAUUUUACUUGGAUACCUUUCAAUAAGUAUUUUUACGUAAUUGGAGGUGCAAUAUUCUAUUUAGAAAUAAAAUUAUCAUUAUGUUGUUUCAUUCAGUUUUUUCUGUCGCGUAGCCUAUACACAAUACAAGCAGAUCAUUUUAAUUAAAAACAUUUUAAAGUAUACUUUCUCGUUAUCCUCUUCCCACAGCAUAUAGCUGGCAAUCGUUAAAUGAGUUGAAUAGGUUACAAAUAAAUUGUAGCCUAUGUAACUGAGAUUUUUUUGCCUUUAAGCAGGAAAAAAAAAAGUUUAACAAAGACGCGGAAACUUCUGUCUAUUUUGUUACAUAAUAAAACUCCUUCCCACCAGUAGUACAUCAUGGCGGAAAUAACUUACAUCAAUUAUAUUAACAAAACAAGGGGAAGAAACUAUCUGACGAUAUCAUCAAAACACAUAAUUUUAUCAUAUUUUAUUUAAAAAACACUGAACAACUAUCCAUUGUAGGCUAUAUGCUAUUCAAUAAACAUUUACUGUAAGCAAUAAACGACUUCUGUAUUAGAUUUCUAGCAAUCUAAAUCUAACAAAAACAAGUGUUCAUAUCUGGAUAAGCCUGUGGAGAAAGAAGAGACUCGUUAGUCGUCGGAUAUCGAGUUAAUAUUGUAGGAGAGACCUGGACUGCUGUAACUCGGGACAGGAAGAGUCAAAUGCACUUACUGGACCCAGAAAUAUCGAGGACAACGAUACAAUGACUGUAAGAAUGCCUGACACACUCAACACUCCUCUGUUUUUACAGUUUGUUCCAAAACGUAUUUGCUGUUUUCCUUUAAAUCGUCCUAUAAUUGUUAAAUUAAAAUUUCCCUGUUUUCUUUUAAUGUUUCAAUACAUCAUGGCAAUUGUACCAGUAUAGCACUCUUUGUACUUGACAUUAAUUGCACGGUGUAGGUUGCACAUUUUAAAACAACUUUUAUUUUAAAAAGAUAAUAAAUAUGUUUAUGUCUCAUUGUUAUGUUGGAGCCAGAAUUAUCAUUAUUAUUAUUAUUAUUAUUUAUACAUAGCUAUCUAAAUUGGGACAUAGGCCUA